GCACGAGAAAGUGGAGCAAUCCAUGAGUAAAGUGGCGCACGGGUGAGUAACACGUGACUAACCUACCUCCGAGUGGGGAAUAACUGAGAGAAAUCUUAGCUAAUACCGCAUAACACUUACGAGUCAAAGCAGCAAUGCGCUUGGAGAGGGGGUCGCGGCAGAUUAGUUAGUUGGCGGGGUAAUGGCCCACCAAGACGAUGAUCUGUAUCCGGCCUGAGAGGGCGCACGGACACACUGGAACUGAAACACGGUCCAGACUCCUACGGGAGGCAGCAGUGGGGAAUUUUGCGCAAUGGGGGAAACCCUGACGCAGCAACGCCGCGUGGAGGAUGAAAUAUCUUGGUAUGUAAACUCCUUUCGAUGGGGAAGAUUAUGACGGUACCCAUAGAAGAAGCCCCGGCUAACUUCGUG
rnacentral:rRNA from 1 species